UGCAGGGAUCAUCCAGACUGGAAGCCAUCCUCCACGUGCCCCAGUCGCGUGGUGCAAUGCCUGUGUCCCGCAAGGACCACAGAGCCUCGUGGCACGUUUUGGGCGUGAGUAUGCUUGUUAUGCAGACAGCUGAUCUGAGGCAGCGAGAACUUGUUCAAAAGGAACCAAAACCAAUAAGAAAAGGAAAUGGGGGAAAAUGGAGAAUACAAAUGUGUCACUGGGACCCCGAGAGGAAACGUUUAUAAAGAACAUAAACGGUGUCACCAAGGUGCCUGCUAUUUAGGAGAAAUAAAAUGGAAGAGUGCUGAUGUGCUCAGGGUGUUCAUAAAGGAAUAAAAGCUGACUGGCGAUAUUUGGUAAAAAGCAGAUCGCUUCUUGAAAAGGCAACAGAAGUCUGUUCAAGAGAGUAGCACCAAAUGGCACUGAGCUUGAUAAUCCAAAGCAAAGGAAGGCAAACUCUCUGCCAACGUUUCCCAGCUUGUUGUAACAGUGGGCUUCCAGAUUCUUGCAUCAGAAACAAGAGACUUGAAGAUGGAUUCAGGGACUAUUGAGACGUGGCCCUAUUUUACCUAGUCUCAGGUAUGGGGAAAUACAGAAGUAUGCUGCUGCAUGGGUAAAGGGGACCUGCUGUGGUCUGGCCUCACCCCAAACCUGUGUGCGGCUGUGGGCUCUACCACAUGGAAAGGCCGUGAAGGAACCUCAAAGCGACUGGAGGAAGAGCUGGAGGAAGGGAGGGCUGAGGUGUGUACUGCAAGGGAAGGCUGGGGCAGAGCAGGCCGAGAGGCGGCCGGGCUGUGCCCUGCAGCUCCCUGAGGAGGGGAAGGGAGCGGGAGACACCAGGGGGCUCAAGCCUGGCAUGGAGAAAUGUUUCUUCACCCCCAGGGUGGGCAAGCACUGGGACAGGCCUCUGGGAGGGCGCAGGUGCCCAAGGGGCACAGGACAGUGCCCUCAUUUCCAGCGCAGAGUAAAGGCAAAACUGUUUUGCAGGAGGAGAACGGGGAAAUUGGAAAGAUUCUGCGGUACAGCAACCGGUCUCAUGCUGAUGUUUAAAGCACAGAAAAUAGCAAACCAAUUCAGAGCAGUGUUAACAUUUAAAAAGACUCAGAAUUACUGUACCUGAAUGCCUAUUUAAAAUUUCUGAGGUGUACAUACCGGAUUUGAAAGCAAGUGACCUUGAAAAGUUCAUAUUUCAUUCUCCUUAGUACUAUUACCUAAGUCAUUAAACAUAUUCACUUGCCUAUUUAUAUAUUAUAUUAAUUAUUUUCAAGAUUUAAGACCUCUGUGCUUUCCUAAAUUUCCCUGAUGUAUUUAAGGGGAAACAAAGGUUGGCAUUUUUGUUUGUUUGUCUCGUCUCUUUCUUGUGAAUUCUCAUCACUCACGCAUUCAUUCAGUUGUUCAGUGAAUACCUCAUUAAUAUGAUUUCUAUCUCUGUAUAAAGGCACACGGCAAAAACACUAUUAUGUAACACUUUGAAAAGAGCUAUAAAUAGCCUACUUUAAUAAUCAUGAAUUUACAUUAGAAAGGUAGAGAAACUCUGAAGUGAAAAACAUUUAUUUUUAUCUGAUGUUACUGUUUCAUAAUCUCAGUGUUAUCAGACACAUCCUGAAUAAUUUAGUAAGGUCUUGGGGUUUUAUACCAUCUGGGAAAGUCUUGCAUAUCAAAUGGGUUUGUACAACAGGAAAAGAGGUUUUGAAAGAACUACAUUUUUCUUCUGGGACUUGAUCAUGCUUACCUGGUACACAUUGAAAAACUACCAGUGACAUCCAUGGCAGAUUAGAGAAUGCAAAGAAUGGCAGGUUUGGCUCUUAGUUUACGUUUUUGUCCUUGUUGUUUUUCUAAACACAAGUGGUUCUUUCUGAAUAAUUUGAAAUAAAUCAACUUUACUGGAACUUAAAAUUUGCUUCCUUACUACCGUUAUCUGGCUGCCUUAAUUAUAGAAAUUUACUGAAUUUAUGCCUUCGUUCGGCCAAACAUCUUGUGAUGCAUCUUGGAAGGAAAAUACUGGCAAGCAUAACCAAAGUGUUCGGUUUUAUAGUUGUUAUAAAUCCAUCAUUGACUCUGUAGAGAAUAGUUGUAAGGCUGAGAGGAUGUUCUCAUAAAAUCUUCAAUAGGCGUAUGAAGACACAGAAAGUCUAAUACAGUAAAUUGAACAUGAUAACUCUACUAGCAAAGAAAGUGAUAAAGAAAUAAUUGAAAAACGAAUGUUGUUUUAUAUACUGUGUCUAUGAUACCUAUUCUGAAGUAAUGAAAUGUAAUGCCCGCUCUUGCAAUUCAGUCUCUGCAGGCAGACAGGAGCAGCUGAACACAGACAUAAUGCAGAGGCAGCUACCUCCUGUCAGCAGGACCGAUGCCAAAUCAAUGCGAGUUUUGCCAGUCAAGCUUUGCUGUGUGCAUUUGUCCAUAGGUAAGAUCAUCCAUAUAAUUUUUAAGUAAUGGCUGGUUAUAACCAAACGCUCAAAUACAAGGAACAGCUAAUUCGCACCACCCUUUCCAUAUUAAUGAGGGAUCCCAGUGGUAGUAUCUUAUUCCUCUGUUGACUGUUUAAGUACGUAGGACUACUGUUCUUGCAUGUAGGACUACUUUCCAUACUUCCUAGACUGAUGUUUUUUGAUGGAGAUAGUUUCCAGGGCUCUGCAGCUGUGCGGAGGGAAGCUGACAGCAAACUAAGCAGGAAGAAAGCACAGCAAUGAAAGCCAUGGAGCUUGGGAAGGAGCUCCAUGGCCAGGAACUACAUGUAAAUACCAUUGGCCAGGAAAUACACGGAAAUACUUUGAGAACACAGAUGAGUAAACAGACACAGUGGGGGCAGCUCAAGUAUCAUCAGAUGAGGCCUGAUAAGGAGGAAAGAAACUGACCAUCGUUCCCAGCUAUUUCACAGGACAGAGUCUUACACUUCAACAUAAACACUGAGAGCACCAGGAAAAAGUCCCAUCUCCAUUAUUCUUGCCUGAAUUUACUAUUAGUUGUCUUUCCCCAAGCCUGUUAGCUGCCCUUUUCGUUGCCUACUCAGUUUGCUGUAAGCUUCUUGGAUUCUCAGCCAGAGCUUCAUCCUUAACCGAACAGUCCUUUCGUUGGGUGUGCUACUAUUACCUCUCUCUUUAGACUCUUAAUGGAUUUGGAAGGUCCAUGAGGGCGGCAGCACAGAACAUUUUGGUUGCUGCACUGCGUGAGCUCCGACUCCCCACGUGUAACUGGAGUGCCUGCACGGUUUGAUGGCAUGUGGCGUGUUCACCUGUGCACAGGGGGCACGGGUCGAGUAGUUAUAGAAAGUGUAGCUAAUACCGUGUGUAACUUACAUAACUACGAUAUGCAGUAGUUACAGGGCAUCUGUGUGUGGUGCGCUUCAGAGUAACCUUCCCAUUGCCCUGUCAUUUUGCUGGCGUUUUUCCUCUCGAUGUGCACUCGUUUGGCGUUGGUUUUGUUCGCUUGUUUUGCUGAGGGCAAAAGACUUCAUUUCUGAAGACUUCACGUUACCGGGGCGCUUAACAACAGCGAGAGCCCGAAAAUCCAGCCAGGUGCUCGGCGGCCACUUUCGCUUUCCGAGGGCGCCCUGGCAGCCCGGGCUCGCUGCGUGCCCAAACUUCGGCAGAGCCGCGUGCGGGGCGCCCUCACCUCGCGGCUCCCUCCGGCCGGGGCAGGCCCGGCCCUUCCCCAGGGGCCCGACCCGACCCCGCGGGGCCCGGCCCGGCCCCUCCGCCCCCGGCCCUGCCCCGGCGCUGACGUCCCUCCNNNNNNNNNNNNNNNNNNNNNNNNNNNNNNNNNNNNNNNNNNNNNNNNNNNNNNNNNNNNNNNCCGCUCCCCGCCGGCGGCG
rnacentral:lncRNA from 1 species